UACCAGCACCCCGAGUGGUCGGGACGAUUAUUGGGCCUAAAGCAUCCGUAGCCGGUUCUACAAGCCUUCCGUUAAAUCCACCUGCUUAACAGAUGGGCUGCGGAGGAUACUAUAGAGCUAGGAGGCGGGAGAAGCAAGCGGUACUUAGUGGGUAGGGGUAAAAUCCGUUGAUCCAUUGAAGACCACCAGUGGCGAAGGCGGCUUGCCAGAACGCACUCGACGGUGAGGGAUGAAAGCUGGGGGAGCAAACCGG
rnacentral:rRNA from 1 species